rnacentral:lncRNA from 1 species
GCUUACCUCGAUGAAAGAGAGCUAUCAAAUACACAGAGAAGACAGCCUGAGUGAUCUUGUCCUAAGGCAUUACUUACUAGAUCACAAGCCACUUUGUGCGGAUGGGCCCAUUUUCUUACACCUGGAAUGAUCCCAAAAGCAUUAUCCAUGGUAAGACUUUAUUGUUUUAAUUGUGCACUUAUAUUAGGCUGUGUGGAAUCUGGGCAGCAAUGUUAAAUUACAUUUCUCGGCAGCUUCAAGGCUCUGUAUCUGUAAUUAGUGGCUUCUGUUCUUCAUUACACUGAUCAGAAAUGCAGCUCUAUUCAUCACCACAGUUCAGUUAAUUAUCCUUGCUAAUGAUUUUCAUGGUGUAAAGAAUCUACAGGACCCAUUUGUAAAGAUAUUUUACAUUGAGAUUAUUGGACAGUAUGACACCUAGUGAGCCGAUAAGCUGUUGGAAGAAUGUUGCCAUGGGGAAUAUUUAUAACUCUCUUUUCUAUUGUGUUUGUUUUGAUUGAGAAGAAGUUAGAGGAGGGAAUGUAAUGUAAUGUUGCGUUUACAAGAUUAUAAUACUCCAGGUGUGCAAGGAGGUGGGGAAGGAGUCACACAGAACACAAAAGAGAAAAUUAAACUUCCUCUGCAUGCCUG